ensembl:snRNA U6 U6 spliceosomal RNA
GUGCUGGCUUCGGCAGCACAUAUACUAACAUUGGAAUGAUACAGAGAAGAUUAGUGUGGCCCCUGCACAAGGAUGACACACAAAUUCAUGAAGUGUUCCAUAUUUUU